UACGAACCGUCCAAACGUUAUUCGGAAUCACUGGGCUUACAGAGUUCGUAGGCGGCGGAGAAAGUAGGGUGUGAAAGCCCUCGGCUCAACCGAGGAAUAGCGCCCUAAACUACUUCGCUUGAGGAGGCUAGAGGUGAGCAGAACAGAUGGUGGAGCGGUGAAAUGCGUUGAUAUCAUCUGGAAUACCGGAGGCGAAGGCGGCUCACUGGGACCUUUCUGACGCUGAGGAACGAAAGCUAGGGUAGCGAACGGG
rnacentral:rRNA from 1 species